UACGUAGGGGGCAAGCGUUGUCCGGAAUUAUUGGGCGUAAAGAGCGCGUAGGCGGUCCGGUAAGUCAGCUGUGAAAGUCAAGGGCUCAACCCUUGAAAGCCGGUUGAUACUGUCGGGCUAGAGUCCGGAAGAGGCGAGUGGAAUUCCCGGUGUAGCGGUGAAAUGCGCAGAUAUCAGGAGGAACACCGGUGGCGAAGGCGGGUCUCUGGGCCGUAACUGACGCUGAGGAGCGAAAGCGUGGGGAGCGAACAGG
rnacentral:rRNA from 1 species